rnacentral:rRNA from 1 species
AUUGAACGCUGGCGGCAGGCCUAACACAUGCAAGUCGAGCGGAUGAAGGGAGCUUGCUCCUGGAUUCAGCGGCGGACGGGUGAGUAAUGCCUAGGAAUCUGCCUGGUAGUGGGGGAUAACGUCCGGAAACGGGCGCUAAUACCGCAUACGUCCUGAGGGAGAAAGGGGGGGAUCUUCGGACCUCACGCUAUCAGAUGAGCCUAGGUCGGAUUAGCUAGUUGGUGGGGUAAAGGCCUACCAAGGCGACGAUCCGUAACUGGUCUGAGAGGAUGAUCAGUCACACUGGAACUGAGACACGGUCCAGACUCCUACGGGAGGCAGCAGUGGGGAAUAUUGGACAAUGGGCGAAAGCCUGAUCCAGCCAUGCCGCGUGUGUGAAGAAGGUCUUCGGAUUGUAAAGCACUUUAAGUUGGGAGGAAGGGCAGUAAGUUAAUCCCUUGCUGUUUUGACGUUACCAACAGAAUAAGCACCGGCUAACUUCGUG